UCAGUGAAAUUGAACUCGCUGUGAAGAUGCAGUGUACCCGCGGCAAGACGGAAAGACCCCGUGAACCUUUACUAUAGCUUGACACUGAACAUUGAGCCUUGAUGUGUAGGAUAGGUGGGAGGCUUUGAAGUGUGGACGCCAGUCUGCAUGGAGCCGACCUUGAAAUACCACCCUUUAAUGUUUGAUGUUCUAACGUGGACCCGUAAUCCGGGUUGCGGACAGUGUCUGGUGGGUAGUUUGACUGGGGCGGUCUCCUCCUAAAGAGUAACGGAGGAGCACGAAGGUUGGCUAAUCCUGGUCGGACAUCAGGAGGUUAGUGCAAUGGCAUAAGCCAGCUUGACUGCGAGCGUGACGGCGCGAGCAGGUGCGAAAGCAGGUCAUAGUGAUCCGGUGGUUCUGAAUGGAAGGGCCAUCGCUCAACGGAUAAAAGGUACUCCGGGGAUAACAGGCUGAUACCGCCCAAGAGUUCAUAUCGACGGCGGUGUUUGGCACCUCGAUGUCGGCUCAUCACAUCCUGGGGCUGAAGUAGGUCCCAAGGGUAUGGCUGUUCGCCAUUUAAAGUGGUACGCGAGCUGGGUUUAGAACGUCGUGAGACAGUUCGGUCCCUAUCUGCCGUGGGCGCUGGAGAACUGAGGGGGGCUGCUCCUAGUACGAGAGGACCGGAGUGGACGCAUCACUGGUGUUCGGGUUGUCAUGCCAAUGGCACUGCCCGGUAGCUAAAUGCGGAAGAGAUAAGUGCUGAAAGCAUCUAAGCACGAAACUUGCC
rnacentral:rRNA from 1 species